rnacentral:tRNA from 1 species
GGGUAUAGCUCAAUGGUAGAGCAUGUGCUUAGCAUGCAUGAAGUCCUGGGUUCAAUCCCCAGUACCUCCA